rnacentral:lncRNA from 1 species
GCAAGGUGGGAUAUUAGUGGAAAUCUAAUCCUUCCCAAUUUUAAGACCAUAUGAUUGAAACUUUUCUAGACGUAAUGCUAGAAAUGGCUUGUAAGCCUAUGGCUAUAAACACCUGUGACUUAACUAUGGGAAACUACUGAUAUGAGUACUUUGAGGAACAAAUUACAAUGGAUGGAUUUCACCAGUGCCAUUACAUGGCAGAAGAGCAGCUUUUUAAUUUCUAAAAUAUAUCAUGGAAAGCAUAAGUUUUUCAAAGUCUGUGAGUCUGUUUCUGUUCUGCAAAUAAGUUAAUUUGUAUCUUUUUUUUUUUAGAUUCCAUAUAUAGGUGAUAUCAUACGAUGUUUGUCUUUCACUAACUUCACUCUUCACUUAGUAUGAUAGUUUCUAGGUCCAUCUAUGUUGGUGCAAAUGGCAUUAUUUCAUUCUUUUUAUGGUUGAGUAAUAUUCCAUUGUAUGUAUUUACCACAUCUUCUUUAUCCAGUCUUCUGUCAAUGGACCUUUAGGUUGCUUCCAUGUGUUGGCUAUUGUAAAUACUGUUGCAAUGAACGUUGUGGUGCAUAUAUCUUUUCAAAUUACGGUUUUCUCUGGAUAGAUGGCCAGGAGUGGGACUGCUGGAUCAUAUGGUAGUUCUAUUUUGAAAAACUUAGAGGGGACAGGUGAGGAUGGGGUGGGAGGGAUGGACUGGGGAUUUGGGAUUGGCACAUGCACACUGAGGUAUCCAGGGAACUGCUGUAUAGCACAGAGAACUCUACCGAGUAUUCUGUGAUAAUCUAUGAGGGAAUAGAAUCUGAGAGGAACUGAUGUGUGUAUUUAUGACUGGGUCACUUCGUUGUACAGCAGAAAUUAUCACAGCCUUGUAAAUUAACUGUAUGUCAAUAACACUUAAAAAAAGGUUAGGACUUUUUUGUGCAGGAUCUAUAACAGAAAAAAAUCUGUAAAAAAAAGUGUGUGUGUGUAUAAGUGAAUCACUUUGCUGUACAUUUGAAAUUAACACAACAUUGUAAAUUAACCACACCACUUAAAAAAGGGCUUAAGGACUCCGAUUCAACCCCUNGUUUAAAAAUUAAAAAAUAAAAAUAAAAUAUAAAAUAUAUCAUGGAAAAUUUCAAUUAAGCCAUUACUGAGUAAAUGAAUUUGUAUUUUCUUUCUGAGUAAGGAAAGAAAAUUACUCAAUUACUGUAACUGAGGCUCAAUUACUGUCUCAAUUUAUUCACUCCUAAAAACUUGUACUAUGCCAUGUAUCUGAUGGCGUUAAUUAACGAAAGACUGAAAGAGUAAUGCUUCCUUGUGGCCCCAGAGUGGAAUAUUAGUUUCAUUAAUACUUAAAAUGCAAGACUAGAUGGUGCUACUUGGGACAACCGUCUUCAAACUGCUUCCUAUGGUGGAGUCUCUUUAUCAAGCAUAACAGAAACACAGGAUACCUUACAGAGAACAUCAGGAAGUAUUUGAACAGUUCAUUUCUCUCUGGAGCAUAAAAAUCCAAACCAAAAAUGCAAUUUUUUACUAUCUUUUGCGAUUUCAUUAAAUUGGCUCCUCAGAAGGUGUCUGUGGAACUUAUCCCAGUUACCUAGUGUGGCGGCCAACAUAAUAAAUUUACCUUGGCACUGGCUUUCCUUCUUCUGUUUUGGUCUCUAUAGUAAUUAUGUGGUGCUACUUAUCUAUCAGAGAUAAGGUGGACUUAAUUAUCCCCAUGGACAUCACGGGCAGAACGGCAAGCAAAGUGCCUCAAACCAUAGGAAUCUUUGGUGAUGGUUAAUCGGUCAUGAUAUUCCUAUGGUGAGAGAAAUGAACAGCUGUCUAGAGCGAAUUUGAUUUACAUCACUAAAAAUUACAAACUGGCAAGCAGAAGGCAAACUUUAGCCACCAAAAUACAAAGUUAAAAUCCUUCACCAGGGUAAAAUUACCAGGUAUACAACAAAGAUGCUACUGUGUGGAAGGAGAAUGUUUUUUUUCCUAUGAAGUAGAAUUAUUGCAGGGAACAGGAGAGCAUUUUAUAAAAACAUACAAUUGUUUUCUUCACAGAAAAAAAAAAUAGACUGCAUAUUUGUAACAAGAAAAAGUGAUUCCAUAAAAGUAGGUCACAUUUUAACCUUCUAUGUAUCUAUAAACAGUUGAUUCCACUUAAUUAAUGAAGCCAUCUAUAUCUCUGGAACAGAAUUUUCCCUCAAGGGUUAUGCAAGUUAUUAAUUUUAACAAAAUUUUACCAUUGUGAUUAUAAACUUCAUGUUCAAAGAUGGAUCAUGCAUUGAGGCAUGCAGACACUAAAACAAAUAUAUUAUUUUUUAAUUCUUUGUUGGCAAAUUUUAUUGAAAUUGCUCAGAAAUAAUUAAAAAUCUGGCAAAAAGCUACAAUCUUCAAACUGCAGUUGCUAUUAUAAUUAUAAAAUGUUAAGGUACCAUGUCAUAGCUAUUAGAAAAUCAAUGCCGUGUUUCCCAAAAGGCAAUAUAAUUGUUGUAAUAAUUUGGAAACUCAAUUUUAUAAGGUAUGAAUCAUGAAGACUUAAAUUCAUUUGCUUUUUAAAGUGAAUUCUUUUUUUAUUAGUAAAAAUAUACUUCUUACUGUCUCUUCAUGUAAAAAUAAGGAAAAAUUUAGGAUUUUAAUCAGGCACUAUAGAAACAUGAUCACUUUCUUCCUGCCAUUCUUCUUCCAAUUUCUAAGAUGUAAAAUUUAAUAUACUUUUGUCAUUGUUACUGUGUUCCUCUAUUUUCUAUAUUUUUUAUGUGACAACUUCAUCUUUUCUUGUACCUUUAUUGUAAUUACGGCUACACAGAAGUUGUUAUAAUUGAAGUGUUUAAAAAUUUUAUGGCACUUUUCAUCUUAUCUGAGCUAUAACUAAUUAAAUAAUUAAUUAAUCCAUAACAUCUCUAAAGUAGGAUACAAGCCAUUUCAUCGAAGUUAAUUACAUAAAUUAAGAAAGUAAACAUUACAGUACAGAAAUAUAAACAUUGCAAGAUGAUCUAGUCAGAUGGAAGUGAUUCCAUUAAGCUUCUAAUUAAUCUACCAGGAGAUGCUAUAAAGUAUGUAAAAGAGGAAUAAACAAAACAAUAAACAGGAAUAAACAGAAGUGGUUGAAACUUCUUUUAAUGUGCAUGUGUGUGAAUGUGUGCAUGUUUAUGUGCAAAUUUGCACAAAUGAUAGUACUCUUGUUUUGAAAUAAUUUUCUUCAUCAUAAUUGUAGCAGUAAAAGUUAUAUGUGUUCAAUUACAUAUAUUGAAAAAGUAAGUCACCCAAUAUGUUAAUUCUGAGUGUGACAUAGGUUAAUAUUGAAAAUAAAGUCAAUCUUCAACUUCUUUCUCUCACACAACAAUAUAUACCCAAAAGUACAUAUUGUCCUUAGCAUGCUGUAAAUGGUAUUCUGUUUGAGUGAAUUUUGAUAAUAUUUAAUAAUGAGAAAACCCUGAUUUUUCAGCACUAAUAUCUUAAAGUACCCAAAAUGACAGGAAAACACCCUGGCAUAAUCAUGAAAUGUGCAGGGACACGAGACAAUGAUUUUGACGAUACUAUAUUUUCUGUUCUUACUUUGUCAGAAGGAAAACAUAGUGACUAUUUGUGAAACUUUCAGAUAACAAUCAGCCCAAGGUAAAGUAUUCAGACACAAUGCAGUAUCGAAAGUUGUAUAAUUUGUGUCAACACAAAUACACUUUUGUUUGUACAUAUUUCAAGCUAAUUGCAAAAAGAAAAUGAGGUUCGUAAUGACUUGAUAGCUGCAUUAAAUUGUAUUUCUGGGACAGGUGCCCAGUAAGAUCUCACUGCUAUUAGCUAUAGUUAGGUAAGUCGGUAUUCUGGAGCGAUUAGGCCAUUCAUGCUACAAGUAUUUAUUGGCAACAGUUACUCUACCCUAGACUCAGGUAUAUGUGCUGAAUAAAGGCAAAACAUGGGCCCUCACAGUAAUUCUUUGUUAAAUUAUCAUGUUAUCUUUGUCAUCUUGUUAGAUUACCUUGCUAAAUCUUUGAGUCACUUAAAACUUUGAGGCAUUUUGAAAUACUUCAAUUUGUUUUUUAAAAGGCAGAGAAAGGAUAAUUGUACUACUUACUACAAAAUUAUUAGAUAGUCCCUUCAUAGGCAAAUGUUAUUCAUUUAAUCUAAUGAUAACUGAGAUAAAGUAAAAUAAGUCCAUUAUUACCCUCAA